GACAGAGGGUGCAAACGUUGUUCGGAAUUACUGGGCGUAAAGCGCGUGUAGGCGGUUUCGCAAGUCGGAUGUGAAAUCCCGUGGCUCAACCAUGGAAGUGCACUCGAAACUGCGUGACUAGAGUUCUGGAGAGGAAGGUGGAAUGCUUGGUGUAGAGGUGAAAUUCGUAGAUAUCAAGCAGAACACCGGUGGCGAAGGCGACCUUCUGGACAGUGACUGACGCUGAGACGCGAAAGCGUGGGGAGCAAACAGG
rnacentral:rRNA from 1 species